rnacentral:tRNA from 1 species
GGGUAUAUAACUCAGUGGUAGAGUGCAUGCUUAGCAUGCCUGAGGUCCUGGGUUCAAUCUCCAGUACCUCCA